rnacentral:rRNA from 1 species
AGCGAACGCUGGCGGCAGGCCUAACACAUGCAAGUCGAGCGGACGUAGCAAUACGUCAGCGGCAGACGGGAGAGUAACACGUGGGGACGCGCCCUUCGGUUCGGGAUAACUCAGGGAAACUUGGGCUAAUACCGGAUACGCCCUUACGGGGAAAGAUUUAUUGCCGAAGGAACGGCCCGCGUCCGAUUAGCUUGUUGGUGAGGUAACGGCUCACCAAGGCGACGAUCGGUAGCUGGUCUGAGAGGAUGACCAGCCUCACUGGGACUGAGACACGGCCCAGACUCCUACGGGAGGCAGCAGUGGGGAAUAUUGGACAAUGGGCGCAAGCCUGAUCCAGCCAUGCCGCGUGGGUGAUGAAGGCCCUAGGGUUGUAAAGCCCUUUCGGCGGGGAAGAUAAUGACGGUACCCGCAGAAGAAGCCCCGGCUAACUUCGUGCCAGCAGCCGCGGUAA